rnacentral:lncRNA from 1 species
GGGGACGCUGUCGCUGAAGCAGUGAUGGAUUUUAAAGACACUUACCGGGCGUCCCAGAGGGCAGGUUUUGCGCCAUGGCAUUUAGCAUCCUGACUAAUAUCUUGGUACCCCUGGCCUCCUAGGUGGCUGCUUAUCUCCAUGCGAGGUAAUAGCUUUAUUCAAAGGGAGAGGAGCACAGGCCCAGUGAAAUGUCACUUGUUUUCCAGGUGGUUGUGACUGUUUUGUAUCUUGCAGCAAACAGAGUUGAAAACCAUAUGUGAAAUAAUGAAUAAAGCCGAAGCUUAUGCUGUGAGGUCUCUGGCAUGUCUUGAAGCAAUUAAAAUAUCAGUUCCAAACUUCCGUGCAUGUAGAGUCACCGUCCUUUCUUCUUUUACCUUUGUGGAAGAAGACAGUGGCUGUGAUGUGGUUGGGAACCAGAACAAAUAUUUAUCUCUAGCCGGAAACAAAGAAUGCAGCAGCGCAGCUGACAGCAGCCCGAGCAGAGCACUCGGGACUGUUCAUCUGCCUGGAAUGCCAGGGACGAAGGGCGAGCUUGGAGCUGCGUUUUUCUGCCCUGAUCCCUCACCUUGCUGGCUGCCCCGGUACAGAGGGGUGCAGCCCCCCUGCCAGUGCCCUGCGUCUGGACCCGACCGUCUGCCAUUCUAA